rnacentral:rRNA from 1 species
UAGGGAAUCUUCCGCAAUGGACGAAAGUCUGACGGAGCAACGCCGCGUGAGCGAUGAAGGCCUUCGGGUCGUAAAGCUCUGUUGUUAGGGAAGAACAAGUAUCGGAGUAACUGCCGGUACCUUGACGGUACCUAACCAGAAAGCCACGGCUAACUACGUGCCAGCAGCCGCGGUAAUACGUAGGUGGCAAGCGUUGUCCGGAAUUAUUGGGCGUAAAGCGCGCGCAGGCGGUCCUUUAAGUCUGAUGUGAAAGCCCACGGCUCAACCGUGGAGGGUCAUUGGAAACUGGGGGACUUGAGUGCAGAAGAGGAAAGCGGAAUUCCACGUGUAGCGGUGAAAUGCGUAGAGAUGUGGAGGAACACCAGUGGCGAAGGCGGCUUUCUGGUCUGUAACUGACGCUGAGGCGCGAAAGCGUGGGGAGCAAACAGGAUUAGAUACCCUGGUAGUCCACGCCGUAAAUGAUGAGUGCUAAGUGUUAGAGGGUUUCCGCCCUUUAGUGCUGCA